rnacentral:rRNA from 1 species
CAGGCUUAAUACAUGCAAGUCGUGGGGCAGCAGGUCCGUAGCAAUACGGAUGCUGGCGACCGGCAAACGGGUGCGUAACACGUACGCAACCUUCCUUCAGGCGGGGAAUAGCCCGGGGAAACCCGGAUUAAUACCCCAUAAAAUCUUGGGAUGGCAUCAUCCUAUUAUUAAAGCUUCGGCACCUGAUGAUGGGCGUGCGGCUGAUUAGGUAGUUGGCGGGGUAACGGCCCACCAAGCCAGCGAUCAGUCGCUGAUGUGCGAGCAUGAGCAGCCACACGAGCACUGAGACACGGGCCCGACUCCUACGGGAGGCAGCAGUACGGAAUAUUGGUCAAUGGAAGAAAGUCUGAACCAGCCAUGCCGCGUGGAGGAUGAAGGUCCUCUGGAUUGUAAACUUCUUUUAUUUGGGACGAAAAUGGGGAAUUCUUUCCCACUUGACGGUACCAGAUGAAUAAGCACCGGCUAACUCCGUGCCAGCCGCCGCGGUAACAC